CGGCAUCCUCAGAAUGGGAUUAGUAGUAGUUCGCCCGCGGGAUUGCACCUUAAUUUAAAUUAUAGGUGUAAUACCAUUCCAGUUUUCACCGGUAAUAUUAUAAUGUUACCUGUGAUUAAAUAUGAAAUUAAUACCCUAUAUUAGAGCUUAUGCAUUGACUUGAGCACCAAUUUUCUCCCACACCAAUUCUCGCUAUUUUGCAGCAGCAGCCGUUGUGUUGCUUUUUUAACGAAAUACAUGU